CCACAGUCCAGGGCCGACCAACGCCCCAAUCUCCUAUUUGCAUUGUGUCAGCCAUAGCCCAGAGUGUCCACUAGGUGGCGAGCUCAUUCCAGCACCUGAGCUCUUUUGUACAAUAGGUGGUGGCGCUUACAAAUGAGGACAUUUUGGGAGUCUUGAUACUUGCAGUAUCAUUAUGAGAGUGGGUGGACAGGGUGACCAGUGGGAAGCCAGCCUCAUCUACAUGGUCUCUGGUCAAUGUCCAGGGAUUAUGAAGUGUUUAUUGGCUCCACCCGACUUCACCGUUUUAAACACAGAGAAACCAGGAAAAAGCAGGGCAAGAGCUCGGUUGACUCCCUGCCUCCAAUCAUCUGAUGACCUAGAUACCAGCAAGUGACCAGCUGGUGGAUUGUUAAGAAGGCACGUGACAUCAGCGUACUGGCCCCGCUACUCAGAUGGCUGGCCUGGUGGAGGACCCGAGGCAGCGACAGUUCAGCAGUGGCUGCCUUACUCAUCUCGCCCAUUUUCAUUAUUUCUUCCUGAGGCUGGAUUCAGCAUGGGCAGUCUGACUACUGCAAUCACUCUGAGGCUCAUCCUUUGCCCUUUUGUGGUCCUGUGCCUCAUGCCAGUCACCAUCAAGUCCCUGGGAAGGCUGGCCCAUGUUAUGAUGCUCUACUCUGGGUAGUGAGCUGAACACCAGUCCUGCUCAAAGUCUCGUGAGAUUUUUGAACACACAUCAAGUCCUGAGGACAGGCUUUGGAUGUUUCUAAGGGAAGUUCAGUGGGAAGUCUUCUUAUAUCUGAUCUGGAGGACAGCUUUAGGCAGCAAUGCUUUGGAGGUCUCUGGCCCAGGCUUAAUAGUGGAGAUGGCCCAGAUGUCCUGGUUAUGUCUUCUCAGAUGUUCAUCUGUAUCCAUCGUGAAACCUCAAUCUCUUCUGCCAUGCAGCCUUUCACCCACCUUCACAUUAGUCUUGGAUUAUCAGCAGGAAACCCCAGUCAUGCUCCCAAGAACUGUUAAUUCCCACCCUCACUACUAAUAAAAGCAACUCCCAUAUCUUCUCGUCUGGAAUUCUGCCAUUGUCAUCGAUAUGUGAAGACAUGUACAGGUUUUGGUAACUGGAUCCCUGAAAUGUCAGCACUGAACUUUGGGGUGAAGCCUUGGUUUUAUGAGUAGAUGCAGAAGUUAAUUCCCAGCCUGUGCACAUAGGAACAAGCAAAUCCCAAUCCUCUCAUGAGAUUCCAGCUCAGUCCCUUACUCCUCUCCUUUCAUUUCUGAUCUUCUGGGGUGACUUUGGAUUGGUCUUGGAAUGUGGUUGGGGAUAUUUUCCCAAGUAGUAGUACCUUCCCAGGGGGAGGGAUGUACUUAAGGUCAUCUAGGCUUUUCUUUUAGUCACUAAUUCAUGCUGUCCUAUCCUCACCAUUUUCUUUCAUGUUCUCCAUUCUUCAUGGCCCAGAAGACGUUGUUUUACUUACUGCUAAGAAUGUCAGUGAUGUUCACCCGAGCACCCCUGAGCUCAGGAUACAGAGAAUUUGGAAAAGUGAAACUCAAAGUAGAUGCCUCUGAGCUGCGUCCUGGCUCUGAGGGUCCGGCUUUUUAAGGAUGAGGACUCUAGCACAUGUGAUGUCUGCAGGGAAGAGAGAGGGACACUCACUUGGAGAAUGGGGGAGCUUCCUGUGGAUUCUUUCUGUGGAUGAGAAAAAUUUAACUGUUUGAAACAGUGUCCUACUUAGCAGUCACUGUCACCUUGACACAGGUCAAAUUUAUUUACCUUCCCUCUCUCUGCCCAAUCAUCAGCUCUCCUUUAUUUUCCAAAUUAGAUGGGAAGAAGGUUUACAAGAAAACACCUGAGUGCUGACUCAUUCCUUGUUCACAAUCCCUCACAGGAGAAUGAAAUUGAUAUCAAAUAUAAUUAGCCCCAGAGCUAUCCACAACAGGGAGUCAUCCAGACAACGGGCAUAGGUGACCCAGGAAGACCAGAGAGAAUCUAGGCUUACCCGACACACAGCUUAGCCAACCUAUAAUGCUAGAAUGUUGUUUUGAAACUUCCCAUAGGAGUAGGCACCCAUAGUCCUCUCCAGGACACACAGGUCACCUCUUCCCAACACUCAGGACAUGAAAUUCCUCAUACAACUUUUUCUGGGUCUUUCUCCUGGAUCAGGAAAUUGACUGGUGACUGUGAUAAAGGAUUAAUCUUUCCUAGUCAUUACUCAGCUGGUCCCUUUAGAGCCCACAUAGGCAUCUCUGUCAUCUUCCUGCUGGGAAAUCCCACCUUCCCAGAGCACUGAGGACACAUGGCAGACUGGGUGCUCAGCUGAGUCUCUGUGUCACAGGGACACAUAGACAGAAUGGAGGCUCCCUCUUUGAUGCUGACAGACUCAAGGUCAGGAGUCGGCAGAUGUCGGCCCUGAGAUGAGCCAUUUUUUCUCUGAGGGCACAGGGAUGCUUAUCAGCUUUGUUGCUCAAUGUGUUGGUUGAGGAGAAAGAUAAAGAGAGAAAAGUUGGAGGGAUGCAGGGCAGCACUGAG
ensembl:lncRNA